CGUUUCGCUGCUGUGCUGCGCGAAACUCUCGGUCUUCUUGGUAAUAGAGAAUCUUAGCCGAUAGACUGGAACUUGGGGUACUAUUAUUAGUAACGAAGUAGUUGCGGCACACAGUGUACAUUCUAUCUUGACCGGUGUCAGACUCAAUAUUAUUCGUAACGUAGAGUGUCUAUUUCGCGUAAAAAAAAAACAUCCGGGAAGACUCUAUUUCUCGGUACGCGGGAUACACACAGAGUUAUGCAUAAGGAUUUUGAGCAACCACCGGUCGGCAGGUUUGCGACCAGAAGGAAGAGCGUUUUCGCUGAAACUUACAAUCCAGA